UAUUUAUUAGAUUAAAAACCAAUGCCCUUCGGGGCUCACUGGUGAUUCAUAAUAACUUCUCGAAUCGCAUGGCCUUGCGCCGGCGACGGUUCAUUCAAAUUUCUGCCCUAUCAACUUUCGACGGCUGGGUCUUGGCCAGCCAUGGUGACAACGGGUAACGGAGGGUUAGGGCUCGACCCCGGAGAAGGAGCCUGAGAGACGGCUACUACAUCCAAGGAAGGCAGCAGGCGCGCAAAUUACCCAAUCCCGACACGGGGAGGUAGUGACAAUAAAUACUGAUACAGGGCUCUUUAGGGUCUUGUAAUUGGAAUGAGUACAAUUUAAAUCCCUUAACGAGGAACAAUUGGAGGGCAAGUCUGGUGCCAGCAGCCGCGGUAAUUCCAGCUCCAAUAGCGUAUAUUAAAGUUGUUGCGGUUAAAAAGCUCGUAGUUGGAUUUCUGCUGAGGACGAUCGGUCCGCCCUCUGGGUGAGUAUCUGGCUCGGCCUUGGCAUCUUCUUGGAGAACGUUGCUGCACUUGACUGUGUGGUGCGGUAUCCAGGACUUUUACUUUGAGGAAAUUAGAGUGUUUCAAGCAG
rnacentral:rRNA from 1 species